GACGAACGCUGGCGGCGUGCUUAACACAUGCAAGUCGAGCGGUAAGGUCCUUUCGGGGGUAUACGAGCGGCGAACGGGUGAGUAACACGUGAGCAACCUGCCCUUCUCUUUGGAAUAAGCGUUGGAAACGACGUCUAAUGCCGAAUAUGACCCCCUGUCGCAUGGUGGGGGGUGGAAAGCUCUGGCGGAGAAGGAUGGGCUCGCGGCCUAUCAGCUUGUUGGUGUGGGUAAUGGCCCACCAAGGCGACGACGGGUAGCCGGCCUGUGAGGGUGACCGGCCACACUGGGACUGAGACACGGCCCAGACCCCUACGGGAGGCAGCAGUGGGGAAUAUUGGACAAUGGGCGAAAGCCUGACCCAGCAACGCCGCGUGAGGGAUGACGGCCUUCGGGUUGUAAACCUCUUUCAGCAGGGACGAAGCGAGAGUGACGGUACCUGCAGAAGAAGGACCGGCCAACUACGUGCCAGCCGCCGCGGUAA
rnacentral:rRNA from 1 species